rnacentral:lncRNA from 1 species
GUUCAGUCCAUUAUCAUCAAGGCAGGAUCAUGGCAGUGUCCAGGCAGGCAUGGUGAAGGAGAAACUAAGAGUUGUACAUCUUCAUAUGAAGGCCGCUAGCAGAAGACUAGCUUCCAGGCAGCUAGGAUGAGAGUCUUGUUUGUUUGUUUGUUUGUUUGUUUGUUUGUUUGUUUUUCGAGACAGGGUUUCUCUGUGUUACAGAAAUGAGAAGAAAUUUAGUGGCCGGGUGUUACUAAUAGAUAAUGAAAUAGACUGCCUGUGCAUGCGUGUCAGAGAGUGGAAGCGUGAUGGAAGUGCAGUGGGAAGGGCAGAGCAGGGCACCAGGACAACUUCGUCCAUCCUGCCUAUGCAUAUGACUAAUUUCAGAGUUUCAUCUCCGUCGUGUCCUGGAAAUAUGUCGUCAGGGAUUUGCUACCUGCGCUCAUUAUUAUGUUCCUUUUCAUCACUGUAGGGAACGCAGAUCCAGCAGAGUCUUCGUGGCAAUAUUUCAGAACUUUCUUCUACAGUGAGAGUGCCUGGUUAGUCUCAAUACCUAUUCUCUAAAAAAACAAAACAAAACAAAACAAGUUCGUGGUGACCAUUGUGGUGUCACAUUAACCAUAGACAGUCGAGUCUCUUAUUUUCAUGUCAUCAUGACCUUGACAAAUAUCUUGAUAAAGAGAUUCACAGAAUGAAUUCCAAGUCCUAGAGGAAGAACAGAGGGACUUAGACAUGGAUGGGAUUGUUAAAUAAGACUCGGGAACUCUCUCCACAAUCAUUCUUUCGCCAUAGACACAUUGACCAAAAUCUCUUUCUUCUCAGCUUCUUUUGUUCUGCCACGCUAGCUGCCGUAUUGUAAACUGUAGAAAUCUAGGGCCGACGACUCUUUGAUCGUAGAAGAGGGUCUGAGUCUGACCUUGACUUUUCAGGAUGCUGGCCAACCUCAUCUCAUGGCUACUGCAGUUAAUUCCGGAAUCUGUCAGUGAUUCAGGCUGGACGGGUCAGAAUCAACUGAAGGAGUUCUGGUAGUUCUAUUAGAGAGGGCUCCUCUGGGUGUAAGGUUGUUGUCUUGAGAAUGUGAGGAGAUUGUUAGAUGGAGACAUCAUAGGAUGCACAGCAGCACCUGUACCUGUGAGAUGGGAGUAGCCCCUGCACCACCCCUGCUUUUAUGACCAGACCUGUUCUAAGAAUUGCCAAAUGCCCUCAAGGGCAAGGAUUUUGAAGAUUGUCCUUUGGCUUUUUAGUCAUUUGUGUAUAUAGUCUCUGUCUGUCAUCUGUCUGUCUAUCUGUCUGUCUGUCUUGGGGUCGCCGCACAUGCGUUUUGUGCAAGCACGUAGAAUGGGUGUAGGUGGACUUGUUCCUGUGUUCUUAUGUGGUUCCCAGUUGCCUGAGUGUCUUUCUUAAUCCCUUUCUACUUUUGACAUUCUCGUGAUAGUCUGGAGUUCACCUUUUCAUCUAAACUGGCUUGUUCCCAAGCCCCUGGGAGCCACUUGUCCCUGUAUUCCAGUGCUGGGGUUACUGGGGCAGAGCUUCAUGUCUAGCAUUAUGUAGGCUCUGAACUCAGGUCACCACACCUUCAUUGACUAAGGUGUCUGCUUCUCUUCUUGUGUUUCUGUAAAGCCCAGAAAGGUUCUCUUCUUUUUAAGCUGCACCUGUCUCAGCACAUCUGGAAAAUUCCUGUCAGUCUCCCCUUCUUGACUCGCAUCACUGGGGCCCCCAGUGAAGGGACAUGCCCACAGGUCCCAAAUAGCAGAACAUGGACAGAUUUGGUGGGACAUUUUUCUGCCUACCACAUUUGGCAAUAUUUUUUGGUUUUGCUUGAGCUAGUUGACCUGACUUUCCAUUACAGCAUCUAAGACCUAGCUAUAAAAUGUUUGUGGUGUAGGUUAGAAAACCUCUCUUUAAAUGUUGCUUCAAUUCAGAGACUGGGAUUUUCUUUCUAAACACCAGCCUUUUAACACAAACACAAAGCCUGCUACAAAGAGGCCUCCCCGUGCGCUCACUGAACACCAGGCUUAUUCUUUCCGUUCAUCUUGAGCCCCAUGAAGAAGUGUUGUUUGAAGCCGUGCAUUGGGAACCGUUAGGAGACAGUUGUGAGACAGUAUGCGGAGAAGGCAGCAAACAGCCUCCAAGAUACGUGGUUAAAUGGUUUCCAAAAGCUGAAGAUUCCAGAGUCAGGUAGCAAGGGAGGAAUUGCAGCCUCCCACUGUUCCUAGUUCCCUGUGAAAUGAGAUAGUCUGUCUCUGUGUCGCCUAAUUGCAGCUCCUUCUUCCCGAUUCUUCUCUGCAUUGCACACUGAGGGAAGUGCCCAGCGAAUCAAUCCAGGGUGGAGAAUAAUUUAUUCUGUUUAUUUUCUUUCUCAGUGCAGCUUCUCAAGAUGAGAUGCAUCUCUGUUCUCAGGCUGGCUUGUUCUGUAGUCUGUGUUCUUCAACAGAGUGAUUGCAUAGGUCCUUUGGGAUUACAAUUCCCUGACCUGUAGCAUUUCUGACAGUACCUACCUCACCUUUGGUGUCCUUAGCAAAUAUCCCAAAUUUUCAGGCCAGCUCUGCAUCUGCUUUAAAGUGCAGAAUCUUUUCUAUGCUAGCAGCUAGAUAGGCUAGCUCCUGGCAAGAUGGUGUCUGAUGCAUCAGUCCCAGAGAUGUGGACAAGAAGAUGCUUCUAAUUCAAAGCCAUCCAAAGGUACCAGAGUUCUUCAGUUUGGUAAUUGCUUUCUUGGCAGCCAUUGUUUUUGUUUUGUUUUAGGACCCAAUUUCAAAGACCUGAGCCUUCACAUACCUUCAAGGGUAACAAGAAUGUCUGAAAGCCCCGCUCUAACAAACUGUUUCCAACACCUGGCUGCUCACAGGGGCAUCCCAGCGGAGAGAGGCAGCUGCCUCCGCUCUAGUUGACUGAAUUAACAAAUCCCAAGCAGAAUGAGUUCUACAGCCUCACCUUUCCCUGCACUUUUUUCCCCUUUUUUAAAAACUUAACUGCACAAAAUCUUGGUUAUAAAAUAGUGUUUUCAUAUAAUGAGAGCACAUAAAUAUUUCAUUGAUGCAAUUAUCUUUGACAUGAAAUAAUUCCUCCGCAUGGCUAGUGCCUGGGAGAAGUAAUAAAUCUGCUUCUUUCCCCCAAGUAAGUUUCAGUUUAAACAAAAUGUGCGUUUGAAGCAAUGGUUCCUGUGUGUACAUGGCUGUUGGUAGACGCCAUGGCAGCCCCUGGAAAGUGCAUGUGUCUGCUGGGGUAAGAGGUGCUGUUCACGAGAAAAAUGUUGCGUUCCCGUAGGUAAGGUGAGAUAAACAGACAGUGGUCUGGUUGGAAUUUCCAAAGUUCCAAAAGUUACUUAAUUAAAGAAGCACUGCAGAGUCUGUGCUUUUGCUUUCUGGUGGCAAAUUGGACUUAACAACUUUGCACUCAAAAAGUAAAAAGAAAGGUGGGGUGGGACUGGCGAUGGUCUGG